rnacentral:rRNA from 1 species
CCUACGGGGGGCAGCAGUGAGGAAUAUUGGUCAAUGGCCGGAAGGCUGAACCAGCCAUGCCGCGUGAAGGUCAGUGCCCUAUGGGCGUUAAACUUCUUUUGUGCGGGAGCAAUAAUGGUCACGUGUGGCCAGACGAGAGUACCGUACGAAUAAGCAUCGGCUAACUCCGUGCCAGCAGCCGCGGUAAUACGGGGGAUGCAAGCGUUAUCCGGAUUUAUUGGGUUUAAAGGGUGCGUAGGCUGUGAGGUAAGUCAGCGGUGAAAUGCCCCCGCUCAACGGGGUGAAGUGCCAUUGAUACUGCCUGGCUGGAAUGCGGAUGCCGUGGGAGGAAUGGGUGGUGUAGCGGUGAAAUGCAUAGAUAUCACACAGAACACCGAUUGCGAAGGCAUCUCACGAAUCCGCGAUUGACGCUGAUGCACGAAAGCGUGGGUAUCAAACAGGAUUAGAUACCCGAGUAGUC